rnacentral:rRNA from 1 species
CCUACGGGAGGCAGCAGUGAGGAAUAUUGGUCAAUGGGCGCAAGCCUGAACCAGCCAUGCCGCGUGCAGGAGGACGGUCCUAUGGAUUGUAAACUGCUUUUAUACAGGAAGAAACCCUCCCACGUGUGGGAGAUUGACGGUACUGUAGGAAUAAGGAUCGGCUAACUCCGUGCCAGCAGCCGCGGUAAUACGGAGGAUCCAAGCGUUAUCCGGAAUCAUUGGGUUUAAAGGGUCCGUAGGCGGUCUUAUAAGUCAGUGGUGAAAUCCCAUCGCUCAACGAUGGAACUGCCAUUGAUACUGUAAGACUUGAAUACUUAGGAAGUAACUAGAAUAUGUAGUGUAGCGGUGAAAUGCUUAGAGAUUACAUGGAAUACCAAUUGCGAAGGCAGGUUACUACUAAUAUAUUGACGCUGAUGGACGAAAGCGUGGGGAGCGAACAGGAUUAGAUACCCUGGUAGUCCACGCCGUAAACGAUGGAUACUAGCUGUUCGGAGCAAUCUGAGUGGCUAAGCGAAAGUGAUAAGUAUCCCACCUGGGGAGUACGUUCGCAAGAAUGAAACUCAAAGGAAUUGACGG